UUCUAAGGCCAUUUCACCCUGAACGCGUCCAAUCUUGUCUGGUCUCGAAAAAUAAGCAGGGUUGGGCCUGGUUAGUACUUGGAUGGACUGCUCAGAGACAAGCAGUUUGGAGA
rnacentral:rRNA from 1 species